AUAAUUAUAUUUUAUACGAAACAAGUAACCAUAGAAUUUCCUGAUAUUGAAACAUUAAAGUAUAUACUUUUUUUAAACUACCCCAGCCUCUUGAAGACACUGUUUUCAAAUUACGCAAAUCGGAUGCUACUGGGCGUAAUCGGAUGCUACUGGCCAUUUUAGCCGCAAGCGGCAACACCCGCUUCCCCCACUGCUGCUAAUUUUUUUCUCUAUUUCUUCUUUUUUUCUUGUUUUCUUUCU
rnacentral:misc_RNA from 1 species